UAAAUCGUUCUUAUAUUGACAUCAUGAUAUGAGGCUAGAUUUCGUCUUUGAUUUUGGAUAUCGUAAUAUGGCAUAAUUAUUUUUGUAAUGUACUU